rnacentral:tRNA from 1 species
GCCCGGGGGGCUCAGCCGGUUGAGCGUCCGACUUUGGCUCAGGUCAUGAUCUCGCGGUUCGUGGGUUCAAGCCCCGCGUCGGGCU